AACGAACGCUGGCGGCAUGCCUAACACAUGCAAGUCGAACGAGACCUUCGGGUCUAGUGUCGCACGGGUGCGUAACGCGUGGGAACCUGCCCUUAGGUUCGGAAUAACUCCCCGAAAGGGGUGCUAAUACCGGAUAAUGUCUUCGGACCAAAGAUUUAUCGCCUUUGGAUGGGCCCGCGUUGGAUUAGCUAGUUGGUAGGGUAAAAGCCUACCAAGGCGACGAUCCAUAGCUGGUCUGAGAGGAUGAUCAGCCACACUGGGACUGAGACACGGCCCAGACUCCUACGGGAGGCAGCAGUGGGGAAUAUUGGACAAUGGGCGAGAGACUGAUCCAGCAAUGCCGCGUGAGUGAUGAAGGCCUUAGGGUUGUAAAGCUCUUUUACCCGGGAUGAUAAUGACAGUACCGGGAGAAUAAGCUCCGGCUAACUCCGUG
rnacentral:rRNA from 1 species